UGAAACCCCAGUUUGUUGGGAUCUUGCUCAGCUCCCUGCUAGGGGCUGCCUUGGAAACCGAAUGCGGUGCUACAACUGUGGUGGAAGCCCCAGCAGUUCUUGCAAAGAGGCCGUGACCACCUGUGGCGAGGGCAGACCCCAGCCAGGCCUGGAACAGAUCAAGCUACCUGGAAACCGAGGUGUUUUUUGAGGGGGCUGAAAAUCCCUUUGGGCUCCUUGAAAUCACAUCUGCUCUGCCCCAGAAGGCAAGUCCUGAAGCCAGGAGUCCAACACCCCAGUUUCAUUCUCUCUCUCAGCCCCAGUGACCUUGAUUCACCAACAUCCAGCCUGCGUCGCAGCCCAUCAUUGCAAUCAAGUGGAGACAGAGUCGGUGGGAGACGUGACUUAUCCAGCCCACAGGGACUGCUACCUGGGAGACCUGUGCAACAGCGCCGUGGCAAGCCAUGUGGCCCCUGCAGGCAUUUUGGCUGCAGCAGCUACCGCCCUGACCUGUCUCUUGCCAGGACUGUGGAGCGGAUAG
rnacentral:lncRNA from 1 species